GAUCGGUAGGGGUUKGAGAGAAGGUUCCCCACAARGGAMUGAAACACGGUCCAUACUCUACGGGAGGCAGCAGUGAGGAAUAUUGGUCAAUGGGSGGAAGCYGAACCAGCCAKSCGCGUGCAGGAAUAAGGCCCUAUGGGUUGUAAACUGCUUUUCCCGMGGAGCAAUAAGGAUAUAUAGAACAUCCGAUGAGAGUACGCGGGGAAUAAGCAUCGKCUYACUCCGUGCCAGCAGCCGCGGUAAUMCGGAGGAUGCGAGCGUUAUCCGGAUUCAUUGGGUAUAAAGGGUGCGUAGGCGGCUCUGCAAGUCAGCGGUGAAAUGUCCGGGCCCAACCCGGAAGGUGCCGUUGAUACUGUGGAGCUGGAGUACGGACGCCGGCGGAGGAAUGAGUGGUGUAGCGGUGAAAUGMAUAGAUAUCACUCAGAACACCGAUUGCGAAGGCAUCCGCCGAGACCGAAACUGACGCUGAGGCACGAA
rnacentral:rRNA from 1 species